GCCCUGGUAGUGUAGUGGCCUAUCAUGAAGCCCUGUCGAGGCUUCGACCCGGGUUCAAAAUCAGUAAUUCGUGACCCGUAUCCAGCAAUAAGCAUCUAAAACGGCUUUUUGUUGCCGAAAGAAUGCGAAUUACCGCUGAGUCUCCCGGCCAGGGCG
rnacentral:tRNA from 1 species